rnacentral:tRNA from 1 species
CCGACCUUAGCUUAGUUGGUAGAGCGGAGGACUGUAGUAGUUGCAGGAUAUCCUUACGUCACUGGUUUGAAUCCGGUAGGUCGGA